rnacentral:rRNA from 1 species
UACGUAGGGUGCAAGCGUUAAUCGGAAUUACUGGGCGUAAAGCGUGCGCAGGCGGUUGUGCAAGACCGAUGUGAAAUCCCCGGGCUUAACCUGGGAAUGGCAUUGGUGACUGCACGGCUAGAGUGUGUCAGAGGGGGGUAGAAUUCCACGUGUAGCAGUGAAAUGCGUAGAGAUGUGGAGGAAUACCGAUGGCGAAGGCAGCCCCCUGGGAUAACACUGACGCUCAUGCCCGAAAGCGUGGGGAGCAAACAGG